AUAAGAAAAGUUUGUUGGGUUUCUUGGGAAGUAAUGACUAGACCAUAAUUCAUGGGUGGUUUGGGUUUUUGAGAUUUGAAAUUAUUCAAUCUAGCUCUCUUAGCAAGGCAGACAUGGAGAAUCCUCCAAGAUCCUGAGUCGCUCAGUUGUAAAAUCCUAAAAGCAUUGUAUCUCCUAAACUGUUCUAUUCUUGAAGCAUUGUUGGGCGCUAGGUCGUCCUACAUUUGGAGGUUGGUUACUGAGGGUAGAGAUGUUUUGGCACAAGAUCUAAACAGGGGAAUUGUUGAUGGGACCACCACUGAGAUAUGGCAACAUAAUUGGCUCCCACGAAAGGGUUUGAUGCGUCCUAUUAUUUCACUAACUACGGAUGCUCCUCGGCGAGAUACUGAACUAAUAGAUGCACCCUCAGCCUCGUGGAAUGGAACUCUAAUACGGAAGACUUUAUUUUCAAUAGAAGCAUCAAUUAUUAUGGGGUUGUCCUGCACGCGGCACAUACUAGACUUUUGA
rnacentral:rRNA from 1 species